GAGCUCCUGUUUAUCCUUCUGCUGUCAACAAGAGACCAUUCACCAAGAAGAAUGGGAUAUGUAACAAGAAGAUUCCACUCCAUUGCAUCGUCCGGUUACUAGGAAAUUUGCUGCUCAGUUAGCUGAGAACAAUCCCCAAAUUCACAAGGAGGAAACCAAGAAACCAGACUUGAUUUCGAACGAAACAUUAGAUAGAAUCAUAACAGAUGUGGAAGAAGGAGACUUUAAUGAACCAAUGUUUGUUCAACACACUGAAGCCAUGCUUGAAGAGAUUGACCGAAUGGAAGGAAUUGAAAUGGAAGAUUCAAAUGAUAUUGAUGUUGAAGUAGAAGAGUCUGUGAUGGAUAUAGACAGCUGUGACAAGAACAAUCCUCUAGCUGUAGUUGAAUACAUUGAUGACAUAUAUUGCUUCUACAAGAAAAAUAUUGGUUACAUAUGGGAUUUUCAUGUUCUUGCAAGCAUUGGAUCAGAUUCUAAAGGUAAAAAUCAUUUAUGCUUUUUCUAUUUCUUUUUUUUCCGUGGGAGUUAAUAGAGAGAGAGAAGAAGAAGAGCAUUGAGGAUUUUAAUGUAGAAAGAUAUUUGUAGAAGACAUCUUUCAAGAGAAAGGAUAGGAUGUGUUUGGGUGUUUAUGAGCAUGUUUGACUUCAGACAUGGUGGAUCUAACCAGAAGCUUUUGAUGGAUAAGAAACGUGGAAGCAAAAGAAUCAUAGGUAAUAAUGGAAUGUUUGAGACUAAGGUUGAGAAGCAGCUUACUUGUGACUGUGAGUGAAGCUGAAAUGCAGAGUGUCAAGAUACUAAGAUGAGAUUGAUGAGAAGUCUAAGAAAGGUUAAUGUUCUUAAACCAAACCACAAAUCAAAGAGAUAUUGAGUCUGAGAUCGAGGUGAGCCAAGAAGGCAAAGUAAGGGAAUUGUCAUGGAUAAUGUUAACUCUAGAUUAAAGGUUCAAGGAAAAGCCGAACGCAUUAUCACAACCCUUAAAUUCGAAAAAGAAGAAGGAGACAUCACUCAACAAGGAAAAGAUACUAACUCUUCAACUAAAGGAAGAGUUAGCAGAGAUAGACACACGAAAUACAGAGUUGUACAAGAUUGGAUGUGGUGAAGAAGGAGAACACAUUUGCAUGGCUUAUAAAAAGAACCAUUGGGUCUCAUCUCUCCAAUCAUGUUGAGGAGUAAUCAACGACGGUGGAUUGAGGCGUACACGGCGGUGGCACUACCAGAGAGUUUGCAGAUUCCUGGUGUGCCGAUUAUGUAUGUGAUGACUUACGGCUAUCCUGAAUUCUAGAAGCUUUGGUAACAAGAUCUGUGGGAUAACAAUUAUAGAAGGGAAAGUCAUGCUAAUAACGUGCUGCUCUCUUUUCUUUUGAUUAUACUUGUGAGCAGAUGCAACAGGUGGCAGAGAUGGUGAGAAUAAGAUAGCUCGAAUGAGAGUCUUGGAGAUGACAAUGUUCAGCAUAAUCAUCACAUGAAGAGCUUACCAUCGGUCCGUACCCCAGGCAUACGUCGUCUUUGAAGGUUCUAGAACAUUCUAACUAUAAAAAGAUAACUAGAAUAUUUAUUUUAGAAUCUGUCAAUGAUGAAAUUUUAUUAGUGACUUUGAUCCCUUUGAUUUCGUUAUAUUUGGAAUUGGAAGUUUAAUCGUAUAUCACCAUUUGAAUCAAUUAAGAUAUUCCCACAAUUAUGUUUUCUAGAUAUGAUGAGUAGGUGCUUCCAGAUGAAGGUAAGAAAAGUUUAAACUUUCGUACUGAUCUUUAAACUUCUUUUGUGGCCUUUGUUGUUAAUUUUGGUACCUUCUUCAAAUCCAAUUCUGUUUGUUUUCUAUGAACCUUCGAUCACAUAUGAUCGUUGGCUUUUGCAGAAACUAAUUGUUCCUGUUGACCUUUGGAAAGCAAUCAGAGACAGACAAUUUGUCAAUAUUUUAUCUUCCAUUGUGGUUUUUGAUCUCUGUUUGUUGUUGUAGACAAGGGAAUCACCACUAACUCAAGGAUCGAUAACACAUCUAUAUGAUCUUUUGGUGAAUGGUAGCUCGGAAUCUUG